ensembl:lncRNA
CACAUAUACAUCUGCCCUCACUUUCAGAAUAGUGAAACCUCUAUGAUACUCUGAUUACUUAUCUCCAAGCAUUUGAUACCAGAGUAGUCAUAUGGGGCUGCAUAAAGAACUUAGAAGGGGGUUGUGCUGUGGCAGUUAAUCAUAGUUAAUGUGGUGCCAAGGAAGAAGAGAAAACAUCUUUAUGACUGUAAGUGGAAAAAGGAUGAAUUAAACAGAGCUUGGAAGAGCAGCUGUGUUGCAGGGGAGCCUCAGGCUUUUGGUGUGGUUGCAGGAAAUGGGCUGCAUGCAUCUUGAGGGGUGCCCACAAACACGCUCAGGGCUUUCAGAAAUGUAUUUAGGUCACUGACACUUUGAAAGCUUUAUGCAUUUUGAUCCUAGGGGCUGUAACAAAGGCAUGUAAACUCAAAGUGAAAGCUAGCAUCCAUCCGUGGCUGGUCUUAUUGUAUCCACAGGAAUUUCAGAUCAAUGAAGGAUGUUAGCAAUUAUGUGCUGAAAUAACUAAGUACAAUGGGAUGAGGGUCAGAAGGAGGUGAUGGAUGUCCUUUCCCAGCAGUAGUGGUGCCCUCCUUGGAUUUGUAGAACUGCGUACAAAACACAUUUUCAUUUCAACAUCGCUAAGAUGAUGGACAAUACGCUGGGUCUGCAAUAACAUUGACUCAAAAUUCCUUGCUCAUUGUGAGAUAACUUCCUAAAGAUUGCGAGCAAAAGGAAGUCAGAGAACAAAGCAAUGUCAAGUAUGCACAUGUCACAACACAAUGCGCUGAUUCCAAGUCUUUGGAAACAUGCUGAAAGAUGUCUGGAAAAAAAAAAAAAAGAAGAAAAAAAAAAAAAGGAAAUGCUUUCACACAGAAUUUCGACAUGAAAACAACAGCUGAAUGUGCCUGUUCCUGCCAGGAAAAAAUACCCUGAAAAAACAAAAGGUGCUGGAAAACUAGAAAUGAAAUCAUCACAUGCUACACAAGAGGAUAUGAGCAGAGAUCAAGCCCAUUGAAAACAAGCCGAGAGGUUGACCAGCCUACUGGGGUGACUGAAAGGCCAGAAAAGAUGCUGCGGGAAGACUUCCAAGCAACAAUAAAUAUUGAAGUUCUUUCCAACUCAAUGUUUUGAAAUGUCUUAGAAGUUUUAACCAAAAGGCCUUGCUAUGAUCAACUCUAGUAGGGGAAUAAGAGUAAUAUUUCCACAAGAAAUAUUUUAUUUUCAAUGGUACUUUCUCCAAAAACCACCAAUGGAGAAGUGGUGGGAUUUGAUGACAACAUAGACUUUAAAAAUGUAAUAAACUUAUCUAAUGGAAAAGAUGAUGACAGCUUUCAAAGAUAUGUCCACCAACAAGAACUGCUGCAGCCAGAUGUUUUGGUCAAAUUCGAGUACGUCACUGAGAUACUGAGCAAGCUCAAAACAGAACAGCUGAUUGCUUUGAAGAGCCAACACUUGAAAUUACUUAAAGCACUCUUCUACCAAAGAGACAGAAGACAGCUUUCAUAUUCUCGAGUCAUCCUACAAAGUCCUGCGUGAAAUAGACUACUGCAGCCUACAGGCAUCAUAGAAAUAUUUCAGUCAAGACCACAAGUUCCACUCUUGCCCCUAUGCUUAUGCUAAUGUGCACGAUCUCUUUGAUGAACAACAGCAAGGAGACUGGAUAGCUUGAGGUGUAAUUGAUGGGAUGCUGAAGGUCUGGCUGUUGUUUUGGUGGUUAUUUUUAUAGAUUAUAAAGGAACUGACCAUGCAGUGCUACCUCAACUUGUGGCUGAAUCUAACAGCUUCAUGGACUCAGCCCUCCAUUUAGCCCAUUUGGUCAAAUUAGGCUGGUGGUAACUGAAAGCUGUGACCAGCUGAUGGCUAUGUUGAAUGAUAGCUUGUGGAAAUCUCCUUAGUGGACUCAGACCAAAUUUUACUGACAGAAUCUCACUAUCUCCAAGCAAAUUCCUCCAAAAUAAAUGCUAACUCAAGGCUCAGGGGCAACCACAGGUUUAAAGACAAGGAGGGUGAACUUGUGUCUUCUCUAGAAGUAUUUUCUGUAAGCCAGCAAUGAAGUGAAAAAAAGGCACAUUUGUGUCAGCACCACCCAGGCUGUCAAUAAAGAACUCCUGCCCUCAGAACUAUCAAAUCAAAUUCAUAUGAAUUUCCCACUCUUCCAAAACCACUUUCCCACAGGGAAGAAGGGAUCACAAAAUUAAACAGCAUUCCCUUCUUCUCACAUCUUUGUAAUCUGCAAGCACUGUGCCUGUCACAGUGCUCCCAGGAGGUUUCCUUAACCAUAAUGUCUCAUCUCUGCAAACAGCUGUUUCCCUUUUGCACAAGAGUUCUUGGAGAUAUGCUUCACUUAUCAGAACUAUACCACUGAAAAGCUGGUAAAUAACCAAGUUCUGUUGGAAAGAUGAAAUUGCACUGCAGAUAGAUGGAUUUGCUUAACCUAUAAAAUAAUUCUGAGAUAGCUAUUGUUUUGGCAAAAUUCUAAAAUGUAACAAAGUUUGAUUGUUCUUGGCUUCUCCUAAUUUGCUUACUUUGGGGUAAUAGCUGGCCUUCAAUAUGCAUGUUAGUCUCGUUACUGUUAAGUUAAAUAUAUACACACAUAUCUAAGAGAGGUUUGACCAUUUACUGUCAGUGUUCCAAGGUUAGCUGAAGUCUGGACCUAUUACUUUCUCUGUGCUCCACUAAUUGAGACCAAGGCUUAUGCAAGACUUCCUUGGGGAUCACAGGGUCUGAGGUUUUUAUAGUCCACAAGGCUAAAAUUCAAAUAUGAACCACAGCUGUUUGGAUGGAAGUCCUGGACCUCAUCCUUUUGAACUAUAGUGACCUGCUCAGCCUUGCCAUCAUGUGAAACUCAGAAAUCCCUGCACAGAUGAUGACUGGGAUGUGAAAAUUGCCUGCCAAGCAGACCUGGGUAAAGUGAUUGGUUUACAGUGCUCUGGGAUUUGCAGGUGAAAGGACUGCUCUCUCACUCUCCUCUGCUACCCUCUUCCCCUCCAUUUCUGUACAUAUCAUUCUUUUAUAUAUAUAUAUAUAUGCAGAUUUGAUUCCACAUUCACCACCCAAACAGCUGAAUUGAUGUUCCUAUUGAAGAUGGUGAAGUUCCUCCCUUCUGCCAAGUACAGUUAUUUUUAUGAGUCCCCAGUAAGAGGUAAAGUAAGAGAAACAGGGUGUGGGAUAAACUAGUUAAUCUAUUUAAAUAGGGAUAGACCUCUAGCGCCCUAACACUUAAAUACUUUGUCUUCACUCGGCUGUGCUAUAUUUUAACUGGGGACUACAACCAGGACAAACAAGCGUGGCCUUUUCCUACUGUGGAUUGUCAUGCGAAAAUAUUUGUGAAGGGGUGGAGUAAACAUUUUUGGGGAUCACACUGCAAGAGGAGAUAUAUGGGAACUCACUGUGAUGCAAAAGGAAAUCAUGUGUUACUCCACAGAUGAUGUGAUUGGCAUUGUGAGCUCAGAUGCGUAAAGACUAUCGAGGCAAAAAAAUCAAGAUUGAAGCAGAAUGAAAUGCUCCUUUCUUCGGUAAGUCAGUGGGAGUCAUAAAUACUUCUGCAUCAGCUAGGAAAGCUACAAAAAACUAAAUCACAACUCUAUUUUCAUGCUGAUGCAUGCACUUUAAAGUAAUAUAUAUAAAAAUGCCUUCCUUUUGGCAUAACUGCAAUUACAUAAAUAUUUAGAUUUAUACUAAUAAGUAAUUUUGCAGAAGUUUAAAAUGAUAGGCUGCGUGAUAGCUAUUUAAGGGGAUGGGCAGCCCACCUUCCAGUGGCCACAGUGACUUCCAUCAAGUCGUAAUUGCAGGAGAGGGUGCUUCUGGAAAUUAAUGGUGAAUCUUAUAUUCCCUUGCAUUUAGAAUCCAAAUCUAUUAUUUCAUUACUACUGUUAAUUAUAUAACAAUCAUAUAAUAAUUAUAAAAAUAAUUAUAUAAUAACUAUGUCUGAAUAAAUAAUAAGCAUUUUCAAUAUUAAUGACUGCCUAGCAAGCAAGGCAAAGCAGAUCUUAAUCUGGUUUGAGUUUCUAUCCUUACACAUUCAUUUUACUCUUGCAAAGCAUAUUAAAUACUAUGGAAUGUAUAAAAAAGGCCACAAUUUCUUCUCUAUUGGUAUACUGAAAGUCUUUGUGUGUCCAAGGUAAUAGGAAUUCCCACAUUCGUGCUUACUGUAAAAUACAGCAAGCAAAAGCUAGAUAAAUUCUGUUUAAUAUGGAAAUAAUUUUGGCUGCAUCUUUGGCUUUGUAUGACAUGGAAACUGGUGAUUGUUUAUGCUUUGCUACUUUUUUUGGUCUGCAUUAAAAUCCCACAUGAGAAACAAAUUUUUCUCUAGGAACAAAAUGUUACUUUUUUGGGACUGAGUUCUAAUAAGUUGGGUAGUACGUCUGCUUCUUUUCAGCUGGGAAAUUGCAAUGCAUAUAAAAUCCAGAUGGAUAACACAUGAGGCUGGAAGCAGCCUUGGCCAAUCAGCCACGUCACUUGAUUAAAAGAAACCUAUAAUAAUUUAAGUAAAAAUAGUACCCUAACAAAGUAACAGAGCAACAAACUGGCUGCAGCAUGCGAUUUCAUCACAGUUCCAAUAUUGCUUUACUUUUGCUGGUUGGUCCUUUCAUAUCUUAUUGUAAAUUAACCUAUUUGCAUUAAGCGUGCAUGGAACUUGUGAUUAAAGCCCCAAAAUGUCAGUGAUGGAAGAUACAUGAUAAGCAGGAUGAGGGGGUAAAUCCAUCACCAGACUACAGAAGGCCACAAGGACCUAUUGCUCUUAGGGCAGUGGUGCACUUGAAGAACUCAGCUGAGAGUUUUGCCAUGAGGAAUCACCUACCCUGGCACGUGCCACACUAGUGCAGACCAGUACUUUUUGUAUGGAUUUUGUCUGUGACUGUCAGAAAGCAAGUAAGUGCAUCAAUGCAAUUACAAGGUCACUCUGCGGAAAAACUCCUGACUAUCCCGCGAGAUGCAGCAGAUUUGUGGGUGAGACUGUCUAAGGCAGCCUGUGAAGAAGUCACAGACAGGACUUGCAGAGGGAUGGAGCCACAUCUGGAAUCCCUGUGGGCAAUUGAAGGAAUGUUUAUUAUUCUUUGUUUAUUAUUUUGAGUGUGUACUCUCCCUCUUCCUUUCUUUGUCUCUCUUUGUUAUUUGUGUAAUAAAAUUCCUCUAGGCAUACAAAGUAAGUAAGUCAUCUGGAAUUGUGCAGUUCCCUCUGCCAGGAAGCUGGAAAAGCCUCUCGUGCAGAGACAAAAAUAUGGGCUCAUCUCAAACACUGAGAAAUUACAGAAAUAUUCACCAUUUGCCUUUGAGUUAUAUUUACAUAGGAAAGAACUGUGGCAAAUACGUGUGCUUCUUGCUGUUAAAAAAAAUUGGCUUUUAUCCUGCCCAAGGUGUUGUGUUUAUUUAAAGGUUGUUGAGAAAUAAUUUGUACGUUCUAAAAUAAAGCAUGCAAAAUACAUUAAAAGGGCCCAGUGACAAAGUUGUUUUUUUUUUUUUGCCAGUGGGUGUGGAGAAGGAAAAGGAAAUGAGUAAGUAGAGAGGAGCGUCUUUAUGGCCACAUGGCUAGUGAAAAUUUCUAUUUAUUCUUUGGGGAAAAAGCAAAGUAGCUGCAUAGUUGCUGGUUGGAUAGGUGCCGGGACUAUUUUUAUUGGCAGGCAGCUCUGAGUGGCUGAAAGGCGGUCAUUAACACUCUGACACAAAGUGCUGACAGGGCGAUUAUAAGAUUAACACCCUAUGUUAUAUUAACAGUGUCAAAACCUCCCCGUACCUGUCAGUGAGAAAUAAUGGCACGAAGGAAAACAUUAUAGACAUGCUGAGACUUUAGCACUGAAAUACCAUGCAGCUAUUCACUUUUUGAAAUUGAUCUAAAUAUCUAGAUGACCUACUGAAGGCUCAUAAAAUAAUGUGAUUUAAAUGGCAGCUUCACCAAAUCAAAAAAUGAAUGCAAAAGUUAAGCCGCCCAGCUUACUUACUCUCUUGUUGACACUUUUAGCCCUGAUCUCCCUGGCAGUGGGUCUCUCACAACUGCUGCCUUUCAGUAGAGUUAUGGUUUGAGAUCUCAUAAAUUUAGGAUUUGACCUUAGGACUUUUGACAAAAACAGAGCUUUUCUGGAGAAUAUUAUUACUGGUCAAAAUUCAACCUCGGUCUUUCUCCAGGACUGCUAGUCAUCAUAGUCUGGUUUUAUCAGUGAGAGCCUUUGGACCAUAAGGACCAAUCUGCAUUUAAAAUGUCUCUGCUCCACGUUCAUUAGAACUGGAAUAGCAAACCCUCUGGCAUAGCUGUCCUGGAGAAUAUCCAAAGAAUGGCAACGAAACCAGUGAAGUUUCUGGAUCACAAGUCUUAUGGAGAGCAACUGAGGGAAAUGAGAUUGGUCAUUCUGGAGAAGGUGAGGUUCAGGGAAGACCUUAUCACACUCUACAGCUGCCUAAAAGGAGGUUGUGGUGAGAUGAGGGUGGGGCUCUUCUCCCAGGUUUCAGUGAUAGGAUGAGAGAUGAUGACCUUAAAUUGCACCAGGGGAGGUUCAAGUUGGAUAUUAGGGAAAAUUUCUUCUCAGGAGUGGUGAUGCACUGGCACAGGCUGCUCAGGGAGGCGGUAGAGUCACUGUCCCUGGAGGUGUUCAAGAAAAGGGUGGGUGUGGCACUGAGGGAUAUAAUCUAGAGCAGUCGUGGCCAUGGCUUGAUGGUUGGACUAGAUGAUCGUAGUGGUCUUUUCAACCUUGAUGAUUCUAUGAUAGCUUCAGCUAGACUGCCUUAUGCUGCCUUAAGUUCUGCCAGUUUUGAUUAAGAGGAUAAGCCAGGAGAAAAAAAGUUCUUCCUGUAAGACUAAAUCUGUACCUUCACUAGUAAAAAAUAUUGUUCAAGUGUUGCCAGGCAAAGCAUUAUUUCUGUAUUUUUAUUAUUAUAUUUUAUGUUGUAUAUGAUGAUAAUACAGUCUAUAUAUUUUUGUCUGUAAGACUGAUAAAUAAAAUGCAAAUUAAAUAUUCUUCUAAUACUUUGGUUUCUAACCAAAUAAAGACAUGGUCAAAUCACCCCACGUGCCAGGAAAUGCUUCUGAGUUGCAUAAUAAAGGUUUGAUAGUUUUAAGUAAGUGGGAUCUGGGGGGUUUACAGAAUGUUGCAAUGCCAUCAUACCUUAU